CCUAAGAUGCCUUAAACAUCCUAAGUCCUUCAAGCUUUGACUGAAAUUCAUAAAGGAAUAUGUUGAAGUCAUCAAGGAUCUUGAGCCCUUGCCUAUAAACUGAUAAGUUGUGGGUAUUACUGGCCGAGUAUGAAGAAAGAUGUAGCUGAUUAUGUUUGAAAGUGUGACAAAUGCGAGAAGUUCGGUUACAUCAUAUACGUCCUCGUUGAAGAGUUAACCUCCAUCCAUUAUACUGCUCAUUUUGAACAAUGGAGAGUUGACAUCCUUGGGCCUUUUCCCUUAGCUAAAGAGCAAUUAAAGUUUGUGGCUGUGGUAGUUGAAUACUUCACAAAAUGGGUAGAAGCUGAACCCCUGGCAACAGAUCUCGAAGCCCAAGCUCAGAUCAUUCAUAUGGAAGUCCAUCGUGUAUAGGUUCGGAGUACUAAAGGUCCUCAUAACAGAUAAUGGGAGGCAGUUUGACAAUCCACAAUUCAGAAAUUUCUGUGCUAACCUCGAAAUUGAUCACUGCUUGACCUCGGUGUCACACCCACAAAGUAAUGACCUUGCUUAAGUAACUAACUGGAUCAUAAUGCAAGAUCUUCGAAGAAGAAUUGAGGAUGUUAAAAUUAACUGGCCUGAUGAGUUGCCUUCCAUACUUUGGGCAUACAUAAGACCGUGAUUGGCGAGACGCCUUUUAUGCUAGCAUUUGGACUAGAAGCUACCAUCGCAAUUGAGGUCAGACUCCCAACGAUAAGGAAGCUCAAGAAAGAUACAAAGGAAUGGGCCACUGAACAUCUUGAUUUGCUUGAAGAAGUAAGAGAGCAGGCUUCAUUUAUAACUGCAAGUUAUCAGAAUAGAACAGCAAGGCAUUUCAACGACAGGGUCCAAGUAAGAAAGUUCA
rnacentral:lncRNA from 1 species